rnacentral:rRNA from 1 species
AGUGAACGCUGGCGGUAGGCCUAACACAUGCAAGUCGAACGGCAGCACAGUAAGAGCUUGCUCUUACGGGUGGCGAGUGGCGGACGGGUGAGGAAUACAUCGGAAUCUACUUUUUCGUGGGGGAUAACGUCGGGAAACUUACGCUAAUACCGCAUACGACCUACGGGUGAAAGCAGGGGAUCUUCGGACCUUGCGCGAGUGAAUGAGCCGCUGUCGGGUUAGCUAGUUGGCGGGGUAAAGGCCCACCAAGGCGACGAUCCGUAGCUGGUCUGAGAGGAUGAUCAGCCACACUGGAACUGAGAAACGGUCCCGACUCCUACGGGAGGCAGCAGUGGGGAAUAUUGGACAAUGGGCGCAAGCCUGAUCCAGCCAUACCGCGUGGGUGAAGAAGGCCUUCGGGUUGUAAAGCCCUUUUGUUGGGAGAGAAGAGCAGCAGGUUAAUACCCCGCUGUUCUGACGGUACCCAAAGAAUAAGCACCGGCUAACUUCGUG